UACGAAGGGGGCUAGCGUUGUUCGGAAUCACUGGGCGUAAAGGGUGCGUAGGCGGCCCUGUAAGUCAGUGGUGAAAUACUCUAGCUUAACUAGAGGGGUGCCAAUGAUACUGCAGGGCUUGAGUACAGAUGAGGUAGGCGGAAUUGACGGUGUAGCGGUGAAAUGCAUAGAUAUCGUCAAGAACACCGAUAGCGAAGGCAGCUUACUGGGCUGUAACUGACGCUGAUGCACGAAAGUGUGGGGAUCAAACAGG
rnacentral:rRNA from 1 species